rnacentral:rRNA from 1 species
GGUACCGCCUGCCCAGUGACUCUUUUAACGGCCGCGGUAUCCUAACCGUGCAAAGGUAGCAUAAUCACUUGUCCCUUAAAUAGGGACUAGAAUGAACGGCUAAAUGAGGAUUAGACUGUCUCUUGCAGGUUAACCAAUGAAAUUGAUUUUCUAGUCCAAAAGCUGGAAUAAACUCAUAAGACGAAAAGACCCUGUGGAGCUUAAAAACCAGACACACCUAACAUGUUUUCUUGGUUUUUUAGUUGGGGCGACUUCGGAGUAAAAAAUACCCUCCAAAACGUGACCACUCCCUUAUUAAGAUAAACACAUCAAAACAACUACAUAAGACCCAGCAAUAAGAUAUUGUCUGAUCAACGAACCAAGUUACCCCAGGGAUAACAGCGCUAUCCCCUUUUAGAGUCCCUAUCGACAAGGGGGUUUACGACCUCGAUGUUGGAUCAGGACAUCCUAAUGGUGCAGCUGCCAUUAAGGGUUCGUUUGUUCAACGAUUAAAGUCCUA